GUCCACGCCCUAAACGAUGUCAACUGGUUGUUGGGAGGGUUUCUUCUCAGUAACGAAGCUAACGCGUUAAGUUGACCGCCUGGGGAGUACGGCCGCAAGGUUGAAACUCAAAGGAAUUUACGGGGACCCGCACAAGCGGUGGAUGAUGUGGUUUAAUUCGAUGCAACGCGAAAACCUUACCUACCCUUGACAUGUCUGGAAUCUUGCAGAGAUGUGAGAGUGCUUGAAAGAGAACCAGAACACAGGUGCUGCAUGGCCGUCGU
rnacentral:rRNA from 1 species